rnacentral:lncRNA from 1 species
GGACGAUUCGGUCUGCUUUUGCUCAUUGUACUAUGGACGAUGGUGACUGUGGUUCUGCCUGCCUCUGGCGAAGGGGGAUGGAAACAGAGUAGGCUGGGAACUGAAGCAGCGGUGAUGGAGGAGGAACGUUGCACAGUCGAGCGCCGAGCACACCUCACGUACUCCGAAUUUAUGCAGCAGUAUGUGUGACUGCCCCAAGUCUCAGCGUGAUUCUAGGCAUACUCCCAAGCAUGGUUUUUGGCUGCGAAGAUCAUACUCUCACUGCCUAGUGUGCAGAAGCCCCUGUAGGGUUCAACCUCUGUGCAACAUGCUCCCCUUUUCCCCCCAGCUAUGCCUUCCUCAAGCCCGUCAUCUUGCAAGGACUCACAGACAACUCGAAGUUCAGAGCCCUGUGUUCCCGGGAAAACCUGCUGGCCUCGUUUGGGGACAAUGUUGUUCGCUUGAGUACAGCCAACACCUACUCCUACCAGAAAGGUGAGCUACACACCCCUCAAGGUCUGCCUUUACAUCCCAAAGGCAGGACUGAUCAGUCCCGCCUGGCUCCCCCUUCUUGUAGUGGACCUGCCUUUCCAGGAAUAUGUGGAGCAGCUGCUGCACCCCCAGGACCCCGAAUCUCUAGGCAAUGGUGAGCCAGACCCAGGCAGCAGUGGGAGUGGGACACUUUGGAGCCCACUGUUGCCAGUACCCCUGCCUGUCAUCUUCUCUGCUGGCAGACACCCUGUACUUUUUCGGAGAUAACAACUUUACUGAGUGGGCCCCACUCUUCCAAC